CUGAACCAGAAGUAAUAGGAGGCUUCUAAAGAGAGUGAAAGAGAGAAAGAAGACGGGAGAACGGAUGUGAGGAGGAUUACGAAGGGAGAGUCAUCAGGAUUUACUUAUGGGAACACAGACCUUCCACAGGCCACAAAAGAGGAGAAGAGCAGACACAUCUUCCUGCUUGUACAUCUGUGCAGGACUUUGCCUCAGAUGGGCUGCUGGUGAGUGAUUCCAGGGAGUCAUCCCACUCCUGUGCAGAUCCACUGGACAUGCCAAGAAGCCAUAGAAUACAACCUAUAACAAGGGGGAAAACCCAGUAAACAGAGACAGACCCAUAAAUGACCGGGGAUGAAAUUAGUAGACAAGCAUUUUAAAAUAGCUGACACAAACAUGCUCAAAGAUUUAAUGGGAAAUGAGUAGCAUGAGAGAAAUGGAAGCUAUAAUAAAGAACAAAAUGGAAA